rfam:Schistosoma mattheei strain Denwood, Zambia genome assembly, scaffold: SMTD_scaffold0010789
AGCUUUUCAAAUCCGUGCUGAGAUUUCGUUCGACAUCAACCCAUUAGGACUGAUCAAACUUACAAGAUAAGUGAAGUU